ensembl:lncRNA
CAUAAAAAAAUAAAAGCACUUAUUUUAUACAUUAUUUUUCUUCUUUAUGGUAAAUAACCAAUAAGAAACAGCAUUGCACUAUUUGUUAAUUUUAUGUUAUUAGAUUGAAUAAAACUGUCCACGAGAGGUAAAACGUCCUCUGUAUUCCUUAUACUACAAAUAUACAUAUGUGCACAAUUUUUUUUGUAUUAAUUUAUACACGUGUGCUGGCAUAUUUUUGCUAUACGAUAUUAACACAAGUGACACAGUUUAUGAGUUUUGUAAAAUUGCAAGGUAUAGCAUCAUAUAUAAAUGAAUGCACAAAAUAAUUAAAAAAACAUAUAAAUAAAAGAAUAAAAAAAAAAAACAAGGACAAUAAAAAGAAUUUUUAAUAAAAAACACAUAAGCCAAAAACACAUAAACCUAAAACACAUAAACCUAAAACACAUAAACCUAAAACACGGAACAGGUGUAAACACAGGAAAGGGCAUAUGUACAUGCACAAACAGAAGCAGACACAAUUAACACGACAAAAUUUGGAAAAAAAAAAAAAAAAAAAAAAAAAAAAAAACUAUCUUACCCACAAAUGUAUUUUAGUGAGAAAAUUAAAAAAAAAUGCGAAAUUCAUUUUAUAGAUGUAGAAUUGGAAAUAUUCCUUUUUGGUUGCUUUUUGUACACCUGGGAUAAAUUACUAUCAAAUAAUAUUAAACAGAAAGAAAAACAAAAUGAUGAAAAUCGAAAAAAAAGUGAUAAUAAAAAUAAUAAUUUUUUUGCAAGUGAUAAAAAAGCAAAUAGUUAUGGGAAUGAUAUGAACAGAGAUGUCACUGUUACUAGUACUACAACAAUUUCCCAUACAAAUAAAACCCUAUCACAUUUCAAAUGUAACAGCACAAACAGAUGUUCAAACGAAAGUAUGAAUAGAAUAAACAAAUAUAAUAAGAAAGAAGUGAAUAAUAUAAAAUCGUAUUCAAAAAACAAACGCAAUUUUUAUGAUGCUAAUUUUUAUGAUGCUAAUUUUUAUGAUGCUAAUUUUCAUGGAGUACCUUACCAUUUUAAUGAAAAAUUUAUAAAAAAAUAUAAAAUAAAUACUGAAAAAUUAAGUGAGAGAUUAUUAUGUUUUAUAAAAAGCAUUUUCUGUCAGGAUAAUGACUUUUAUAUAUUUUAUGAUUUAUAUAAUUUUUAUACGGGUAUAAUAAAAGAGGAAAAAAAAAAUGAAACAUUUAAAUUGUAUAAUCAUUUUUUUAAGUACAACAGUAGUAACGUAUACAAUGGUAAGAUAAGGAGUAGCAAAAACGCCAAUAAAAUUGAUAAUCUUACCAAUAAACAAGCAAACACGCAAGCAGAUACGCAAGCAAAUAAGCAAAUAGAUAAUAGUUGCAUAUUCUGUGAUAUGAUUUUAAAUGAGGAAAAACAAAAAAAUAACUCCCAAUAUUCAAAAUAUUCAAAAUUCAUUCAUAUAUGUAAAAACAAAUUGUUUAACAAUAAACAUUUUAACAUGUUAAAAAAGAGUGUUAUUAAUACAAAAACAUUCGAUAACAUAUUAAUUCAUUCUAUAUUUUUAGAACGAUUGUUUAACUAUAUAUAUAAAAAUAAUAACAAAAGUUUAUUUUUUUUUUUGUUUUAUUUUUUAAACACUUUAUUGAAUGUUACUAUUAAUAAACAGUUAAUGAUAAAUAUAUUUUUUUUUUGUCGUAUAAAUAAGUUAUUAACCCAUUCUUGUAUUAACUCGGAAGAAGAAAUAAAAAAUUCUACAAAUUAUUUUACAGCAUGUAAAAAGUUUUUCUUGCACAGAGGUAAUGAAAAAAAUUUAGAAUUAAAAAAUAAUAAAAAAAUAAAUAAAAAAUUUAACAAUAACAUAAAAGAUACUCUUUUAAAUGAUAAUAAUUAUAUAUUGUUACAAAAUUGGUUUAAUUAUUUUUAUAUUGUUACAUCAACUAAAAAUGAAAAUUUUUAUAAUCAAUUUUUUUUAAAAACACAAAUAAUAAAUUUUAUAUAUAUUGUACAAAUAAAUUAUUUUCACUACUAUUAUAUCAAGUUAUAUAAAAAAUAUAAUACAACACUAAUAAAUAAGUUGAUUGUAAGAGAAUUAAAACAAAUCAAGGUUAGUUAUUUUGAUAAUAAUAAUAAUAGUAACACUUUGCAACAUGUGGAACGUAAUACAUUGGAAAAGGGAAAUACUUUACAGUUGUUAUUUCGAGAGCUACAAGAAAUGAGGAGUAACUGGAAUUGUAGUAGUGACAGUGGUGUUAGCAGUUGUGGCAGUAGUAUGAGUAUUUAUUCUAUAGAAAAUAGAAAUGGAAAUAGAAAUAGAAAUAGAAAUAGAAAUAGAAAUAAAAAUAAAAAUAAAAUUAAAAAUAAAAAUAAAAAUACGUUAACCGAUAGAAAUAAAAAUAAAAAUACGUUAACCGAUAGAAACAAAUAUAAAGAACGUUUAACAAGAAACACCACACAUUUUUCAAAUAAAAUGAUUAAUAAAAAAGAUAUAUAUCUACCAGAUGUAGAAACACAAAUAACUUAUAUUAUAAAUAAAAGUAUUAAAAUUAUGAAAAUUAUGAAAAGAAAUAAAGAAUUUUUAAAGUUACAUAUUAAUAAAGACACAAGCUUUAACAAUGUUUAUUAUAAAAUGGGUAUAAUCGGUAAAAAAUAUAAUAUUAACACAAACUGUUUGAAUAAUUUUAAUCUUCAAUUAAUCAACGAAAUGAACAAAUAUUAUGUUAAAAAAAAAAUUGAAAAAAAAAAAAUGUUUGGAAAGGCAACUGCACAAUAUUCUAAUUUCAAAACAAAUCAGUCCCAAAUGGAUCAAUCUUUUUGCACUCCUUUAUCAAUGACCAAAAUGAAUAUGGAAGAUAUAAAAUUUGUAAAAAACUUAGGAGUGUUUUUUAUAAGGUCAAACAAAGUUUUAAAUAAAUAUAUAGACAAUUCUGAGUACAUAAAACAUAGUAAUAUUUUUCCUUUCUUGUUUGAUAGUUUAUGCUUAUCAAAUAUCAACAACAAUGCACAAAAAGUGUUAGAACCGUAUAUAUAUAAUAUUUUACGCAACUACCAAUUUAUUGAUGUACAUAACUUUAUUAAUAAUUUAAAACUACUUUAUAAAAAAAACGCUAUACUAUCGAUAUAUUUACAAAAAAGAACAAAAAAAAAAUUAGAAAAUAUUAUUAUUCCUACCAUGCAGUUUUUAAACAAUUUAGAAAAGUUAAAUUAUUAUUACAAUAGUUUAAAAAUUGAUUACCUUGCUUUGACUGAAAGUUGUUAUUUGCAAAUAAAAAGUAAAAUGGAUAAAAGAGAAAAAAAAAUCACAAAACAACAAUAUUAUAACGAAAUUAACAAUGGUAAUAAUAAAAAAAAUAAAAAAAUAAUAUUUCAUAAUUUCGUAAAGGAUAAAAAAAAUUAUAUAUAUAAAAAUGCUAAUAUUUAUAGAUUUUCACUUAAACAAUUUAAUGAAAAUUACAAUUUAUUUAACAUAUAUUUAAAUUAUAAUUUAUUUAAUAAAGCAUAUAAAUUAACUAUUCUACAUUAUGAUUUUUCACUUUCUUUAGCAUCGGAAAUAUUAUUUUUAUAUAAAUUAUAUUUAAUUGAAUUAAAAAAAAAUAAUAUAUUUCAAGCAUUUGAAAUAAUAAAUGUAGCUUUUCAAAAAUGUUUUUUAUUAUGUAAAAAAUAUCUUAAUGCAGUUGCAUUUACAUUAAUGUCUUUAAUUAGUCUACAAUUUGGUUAUAUAGUAUAUAAUUAUACUUUUUUAACCCAAGCACUUAGUUUCAAUCCAUGGUCUAAAACACGGGCCAUUAAAAAAAAAAUAUUAAUAAAUGAAAAUGUUACUAAUAAUAAAUAUAUUUAUACCUUUUUUCAAAAAAAUUAUUUUAGUUCUGUUAUGUCGUAUGAAAAUAAAACACCACAUGAUAAUGAUACAUUAAUACCAAAACAUAUAGAAGAAGAAAAAAAAAAAAAAAAUGAAAAUAAAAAAAAAAAUAAAAUAACGUUUCCUUUUAUAAAUAAUAAUAAUCCAACAAAUUUUGGAAUUACAAAUUCUAGUCAAAUAAAUAAUGUAGAAGGUUAUUCUAUACCUGUUGAUGAUAUACCCUGUAUAAAUAUAGAUGAUGACGAUGUACUUAGUAGUCACACUUUUUCGCAUAUAAACGUUCAACCUGUGAGAUUAAAUAGUAACACUUGUAGUGAAUACAAUUCGAUAGAUAAGUCUAACAAUAAGCUUAAAAUUGGACAUAUAACUGGGCAUACAACUUGGCAUACAGCGGGACAUACAGCGGGACAUACAACUGGNNNNNNNNNNCGGGACAUACAGCGGGACAUACAACUGGACAUACAACUGGGCAUACAACCGAACAUACAACUGGGCAUACAACCGGGCAUACAACCGGGCAUAUAA